GCCUUCUUAGCUUAGUUGUAGAGCACCCUCUUAGUAGGCGGGAGGUCGUCGGUUCCUUUCCGACACAAGGCU